CGCUGGCGGCAUGCCUUACACAUGCAAGUCGAACGGCAGCGCGGGGCAACCUGGCGGCGAGUGGCGAACGGGUGAGUAAUAUAUCGGAACGUACCCUGGAGUGGGGGAUAACGUAGCGAAAGUUACGCUAAUACCACAUACGAUCUAAGGAUGAAAGCAGGGGACCGCAAGGCCUUGUGCUCCUGGAGCGGCCGAUAUCUGAUUAGCUAGUUGGUAGGGUAAAAGCCUACCAAGGCAUCGAUCAGUAGCUGGUCUGAGAGGACGACCAGCCACACUGGAACUGAGACACGGUCCAGACUCCUACGGGAGGCAGCAGUGGGGAAUUUUGGACAAUGGGCGCAAGCCUGAUCCAGCAAUGCCGCGUGAGUGAAGAAGGCCUUCGGGUUGUAAAGCUCUUUUGUCAGGGAAGAAACGGUGGAGGCUAAUAUCCUUUGCUAAUGACGGUACCUGAAGAAUAAGCACCGGCU
rnacentral:rRNA from 1 species